CCUACACAUGCAAGUCGAGCGGCAGCGAAGGGUGCUUGCACCCUGUCGGCGAGCGGCGGACGGCUGAGUAACGCGUGGGAACGUGCCCCAAAGUGAGGAAUAACUGCCCGAAAGGGUAGCUAAUACCGCAUAUUAUCUUCGGAUCAAAGGAUUUAUCCGCUUUGGGAGCGGCUCGCGUCGGAUUAGGUAGUUGGUGAGGUAAUGGCUCACCAAGCCGACGAUCCGUAGCUGGUCUGAGAGGAUGACCAGCCAGACUGGAACUGAGACACGGUCCAGGCUCCUACGGGAGGCAGCAGUGAGGAAUCUUCCACAAUGGGCGAAAGCCUGAUGGAGCAACGCCGCGUGCAGGACGAAGGCCUUCGGGUUGUAAACUGCUUUUAUAAGUGAGGAAUAUGACGGUAACUUAUGAAUAAGGAUCGGCUAACUACGUGCCAGCAGCCGCGGUCAUACGUAGGAUCCGAGCGUUAUCCGGAGUGACUGGGCGUAAAGAGUUGCGUAGGCGGUUGUAUAAGUGAAUAGUGAAAUCUGGUGGCUCAACCAUACAGGCUAUUGUUCAAACUGUACAACUUGAGAGUGGUAGAGGUCACUGGAAUUUCUUGUGUAGGAGUGAAAUCCGUAGAUAUAAGAAGGAACACCGAUGGCGUAGGCAGGUGACUGGACCAUUUCUGACGCUAAGGCACGAAAGCGUGGGGAGCGAGCCGGAUUAGAUACCCGGGUAGUCCACGCCGUAAACGAUGGAUACUGGCUGUUGGAGGUAUCGACCCCUUCAGUAGCGAAGCUAACGCGUUAAGUAUCCCGCCUGUGGAGUACGGCCGCAAGGCUAAAACAUAAAGGAAUUGACGGGGACCCGCACAAGCGGUGGAUCGUGUUCUUUAAUUCGAUGCUAAACGAAGAACUUUACCAGGGCUUGACAUCCAGGGAAGGUCUGCGA
rnacentral:rRNA from 1 species